rnacentral:rRNA from 1 species
AUUGAACGCUGGCGGCAGGCCUAACACAUGCAAGUCGAGCGGAUGAAUGGAGCUCGCUCCUGGAUUCAGCGGCGGACGGGCGAGUAAUGCCUAGGAAUCUGCCUGGCCGAUGGGGAUAACGUACGGAAACGGGCGCUAAUACCGCAUACGUCCUGAGGUAGAAAGUGGGGGAUCUUCGGACCUCACGCUAUCUGAUGAGCCUAGGUCGGAUUAGCUAGUUGGUGGGGUAAAGGCCUACCAAGGCGACGAUCCGUAACUGGUCUGAGAGGAUGAUCAGCCACACUGGAACUGAGACACGGUCCAGACUCCUACGGGAGGCAGCAGUGGGGAAUAUUGGGCAAUGGGCGAAAGCCUGAUCCAGCCAUGCCGCGUGUGUGAAGAAGGUCUUCGGAUUGUAAAGCACUUUUAGUUGGGAGGAAGGGCAGUAAGUUUAUACCUUGCUGUUUUGACGUUACCAAAAGAAAAAGCACCGGCUAACUUCGUG